CAAUCCACAGCCUACAAAUUGUACGUAGGUUCCGUGCUAGUCUUCCCAAAAGGCAAUGACUGAUUCAUCGAGGUGGUAGAGAGCUAUGUGAGACCCAGAUCACAGGGAGUCAGAACUUUUCAAGGCAUUGGGAGAAUGCACUUUCUUUAUGUCCAUGGGGCACACAUCAAGACAGAGCAAUGCAGGCCACAAAAUACUCAACUAAAGCUAAAUCAAUGCAGUCACAAAUCUACCUUCAAAACUAGAAAAGAACUCAAACUAGGAAACAGAAAAAUAUCAAAAAAAUUGGAAACAAAACCACACAAUUCUAAAUAACUCAUGGAUGGAUCAAAGAGUGUCUCAAGAAAAAAAAUUAAAAUACAUGUAGCUGAACAAAAAUGAAAGUAGAGCAUAUCCAAAUGUACGAGGCACAGCUAACCUCAUGCCAAAAGGAAAUGUGCAACGCUGAACGUGUGUUCAACAAAGGAAGAAAAGCUUCAAGUCAGUACAGCGAAGCCCAUUUGGAUCUGGAGAAGAAGAUGAAGCCCCAGCCAGAAGGAGAGAGGAGAUGAUGGAAAUAAGAGCAGAAAUCAAUGGCGUCGACAGGAAGAAAUGGUCAAGAACAUCAAUGGAGCCGAGGGUUGCUUCUUUGAGAAGGGACGUGAAAUUUCCCAGCCUUUUAUCAGGACUGACAAAAAGAGAUAUCAUAAAUACCAAUGUCAGCAACACAACUGCCUGUCCCUUUGUCAACUUCAAAAGUACAGUCAGAGGACAAAGCUACAGCUACAAGAGGACUUGACAACCUAGAGGACAAGAAUCACUUUAUUUCAAACUACCACAACUCAUCAGGAGACAGGCAAUUCCAAUAGUCUCUAAUUACUAUGAAAAUUAAAAUUGUCAUAAAAAUCA